AAUGAACGCUGGCGGCGUGCCUAACACAUGCAAGUCGCACGAGAAAGUCCCAGCUUGCUGGGGCAAGUAAAGUGGCGCACGGGUGAGUAACGCGUGGGUAAUCUACCUCCGAAUUGGGGAUAACACUGCGAAAGCGGUGCUAAUACCGAAUGACAUCCCCGGGACUCCGGUCUUGGUGAUCAAAGGUGGCCCCUACAUGUAAGCUAUCGUUUGGAGAUGAGCCCGCGUACCAUUAGCUAGUUGGUAGGGUAACGGCCUACCAAGGCUGCGAUGGUUAGCUGGUCUGAGAGGAUGAUCAGCCACACUGGAACUGACACACGGUCCAGACUCCUACGGGAGGCAGCAGUGAGGAAUUUUGCGCAAUGGGGGAAACCCUGACGCAGCAACGCCGCGUGAGUGAUGAAGGCUUUCGGGUCGUAAAGCUCUGUCAAGUGGGAAGAACCUGCUUUGUGAUAAUACCACGAAGCACUGACGGUACCACUGAAGGAAGCACCGGCUAACUCCGUGCCAGCCGCCGCAGUAAUAC
rnacentral:rRNA from 1 species